UCCAUCAUUAUUGGCCUUCUCAUCAUCGGUAUUUCUUGUGCAGUUCACUUCACAAGGAAUGCCUGAGCGGCCAGCAGUCUGCUGCAAGCAUGGAGGAUGGAACUCAUCCACACACACCCCACAGGAGUUUCUGAGGAAUGGACCCUUGACUUCAGACUGUGAGAUCUCUUCCUCCAGGACUCUCCAGAGGCAGGUCCCUGGCAAAUGAACUUUAAAAAAAAAGAAAGAAAGGAAAAGAAAGAAAAGGAAAAAAGUCCAAAAUUAAGGAAAACCAAGCAGCGCAACAAGACCAGCCAGUCACUGAUUAAAAAAAGAAGAAAGAAAGAAAGAAAAGGAAAUGAAAAAGAAAACCUCAAGUCUCACUGUCUGAGUUUAGUGAAAGCCUCUGUGUCCAUUCCUCUUCUGCAGAGAUGAGCCUCAGGAAAUCUCAGUAUUUCUAAUGGCGGGGGAGGGGGAUCCAGAUCUGGUCGGGGGCCAAAGGUCCUAGGAAGAGCAAUGGAGGCUGGUGUCUGCAAAGUCGAGCACGAACAUUUGCAGCAUGUUUCAAGUUGUCCGACAGAGUGGGAUUUGUGCAUUUUUUUUCCUUUUAUUUUUACAUGUCGGAGUUAGUGGGCCCUCCUCCAUCAGCUGCUCCCCGCCACAACCUCCAGAGUUCAAUCAGUCCCCAAAGAAACUAAAGAAGGGGCUUUCUGGCCUUUUGUCCUGACCUCAAUCUUCCAACAGUCCCCUCCCUUGCUUGCAUCCACCGCUGGGCACCUCACUUCACUUAAAGACUCUGAGAAUGUACUUAAUGGUCAAUUCUAGGUACAGGAGCACCUUCCCCAUCCCAGUUUUGGGAAUAAGCUGGCUGUGUCUUAUGGAAUGUGCUUUUUUCCAAACUCUCUCUCUUUUUUUUAGCAAGUCUCAGGCACCAUCUUUUAUUUUCCUGGAUGCCAACCUGGAAAUGCCACCCACUGUAUUUCUUUUCUGUCAAAUGUAACCCCUUUAGGUGUGAUUGUACUGAUUUAACUAUGCCCUUAUUCUGCCUACCAGAACACGCCAACCCAGUGUUUCACAGAAUGCACGGCAUAUGGCUGGUGGUACUCAAGAUAAUUUUUAAGUCAGUUAUAGACAACAUUAAGUGAUGCCAAUCACAAAGUAUUUUUCCCCUUUUCUAGUCUUGUCCAAUGCUGAUUACAGCAAAGAGAAAGCCUCUGUUUAGUGAGCAUGGGUCCUCAACACCUUUCCGUGACUUUAGCUCUUUUCCCUUCUUCAUAAAGAAAGAGCAGGCCUCAGGUUCAAAGUCGAGAUAGAACUCAAUAGCAUAGUCCUGUUUUUGUUGUAUUUCUUUUAUUAAUUACCUUCCAUUUACAGUUUCCCCAUAGGGAUGUGAUCUAUUGUUUCUAUUCAAAUAAAUUUACUUAAGAAAAAUAGAUGGACUCUAAGAAAAUAUCAAGCGGUUAACAAAACAGGUGAUAUGUAUAUAUGGCAAAAAUAACUUCAAGAACGCAUAUGAGAAACACAGUAAAAAUGAACUUUCCUAAGCAAGAGAAAAGGCAGCUUAUUCUAAGUGAAUAAACGAGGCUGAGAAAACACCUGCGUCCCAGUGCCUUUUUUGCCACUAACUCCCUAUGCAAGCUGAUUUUAGGCAAGUUUCUUAGCCUCUCUGUGCCUCAGAUUUCUUCAUCUGGAAAAUGGACAUAAGAACACCUGCCUACAUACCUCAGAGCGUUAUUAAGAGAAUUAAUCGCCGUAAUAGAUAGGAAUGCCCCUGGAGGGAGAUUCUAAGUGCUACACAAAUACAAAGCAUUGUUCUUAGAUUACUAUGAAUCUCAGGCUGUUUGUUAAAAUCCUGGAAACUAGCAAAACAAUAAAUGUUGAUGGACAUCAGAUGCCAUGGGCCCUUUCACCUGGAUGUCUGCCAUGAGCCAGCACUUGUCCCAGGAGGAAACGGAAUCAGGGCCACGAAUUCUCAGCAUGCAGGGAUCCUAGCAUCAUUCCAGUGUAUUGGGUCCCGGUUUCUGUUUCAGACAUUUUGUUUCUUGUUUGUUUGUGUUCAGGUCCCUGAUCUUUUACCCAAAUCAAAUGAGAAGUGUUACUGAGAGGCAGAAUAAAAAUGGUCUUAAGUAAGCCUGUUUA